CAAAGCAUAGUUUACACAAAACCCCUUGCUUACACCAAGAAAUCACCUGUGAAACCCGGGUUGCUUUGA
rnacentral:tRNA from 1 species